GAUGAACGCUGGCGGCGUGCCUAAUACAUGCAAGUCGAGCGAACAGACGAGGAGCUUGCUCCUCUGACGUUAGCGGCGGACGGGGGAGUAACACGUGGAUAACCUACCUAUAAGACUGGGAUAACUUCGGGAAACCGGAGCUAAUACCGGAUAAUAUAUUGAACCGCAUGGUUCAAUAGUGAAAGACGGUUUUGCUGUCACUUAUAGAUGGAUCCGCGCCGCAUUAGCUAGUUGGUAAGGUAACGGCUUACCAAGGCAACGAUGCGUAGCCGACCUGAGAGGGUGAUCGGCCACACUGGAACUGAGACACGGUCCAGACUCCUACGGGAGGCAGCAGUAGGGAAUCUUCCGCAAUGGGCGAAAGCCUGACGGAGCAACGCCGCGUGAGUGAUGAAGGUCUUCGGAUCUUAAAACUCUGUUAUUAGGGAAGAACAAAUGUGUAAGUAACUAUGCACGUCUUGACGGUACCUAAUCAGAAAGCCACGGCUAACUACGUG
rnacentral:rRNA from 1 species